AGAGUUUGAUCCUGGCUCAGAUUGAACGCUGGCGGCAUGCCUUACACAUGCAAGUCGAACGGCAGCACGGGAGCAAUCCUGGUGGCGAGUGGCGAACGGGUGAGUAAUAUAUCGGAACGUGCCCAGUCGUGGGGGAUAACGCAGCGAAAGCUGUGCUAAUACCGCAUACGAUCUAUGGAUGAAAGCGGGGGAUCGCAAGACCUCGCGCGAUUGGAGCGGCCGAUAUCAGAUUAGCUAGUUGGUGGGGUAAAAGCCCACCAAGGCGACGAUCUGUAGCUGGUCUGAGAGGACGACCAGCCACACUGGAACUGAGACACGGUCCAGACUCCUACGGGAGGCAGCAGUGGGGAAUUUUGGACAAUGGGCGAAAGCCUGAUCCAGCAAUGCCGCGUGCAGGACGAAGGCCUUCGGGUUGUAA
rnacentral:rRNA from 1 species